UGGGGAAUAUUGGACAAUGGGCGAAAGCCUGAUCCAGCCAUGCCGCGUGUGUGAAGAAGGUCUUCGGACUGUAAAGCACUUUAAGAUGGGAGGAAGGGCAGUAAGCGAAUACCUUGCUGUUUUGACGUUACCGACAGAAUAAGCACCGGCUAACUCUGUGCCAGCAGCCGCGGUAAUACAGAGGGUGCAAGCGUUAAUCGGAAUUACUGGGCGUAAAGCGCGCGUAGGUGGUUCGUUAAGUUGAAUGUGAAAGCCCCGGGCUCAACCUGGGAACUGCAUCCAAAACUGGCGAGCUGGAGUAGGGCAGAGGGUGGUGGAAUUUCCUGUGUAGGGGUGAAAUGCGUCGAUAUAGGAAGGAACACCAGUGGCGAAGGCGACCACCUGGGCUCAUACUGACACUGAGGUGCGAAAGCGUGGGGAGCAAACAGG
rnacentral:rRNA from 1 species